AUUGAACGCUGGCGGCAGGCCUAACACAUGCAAGUCGAGCGGAUGAAGGGAGCUUGCUCCUGGAUUCAGCGGCGGACGGGUGAGUAAUGCCUAGGAAUCUGCCUGGUAGUGGGGGAUAACGUCCGGAAACGGGCGCUAAUACCGCAUACGUCCUGAGGGAGAAAGUGGGGGAUCUUCGGACCUCACGCUAUCAGAUGAGCCUAGGUCGGAUUAGCUAGUUGGUGGGGUAAAGGCCUACCAAGGCGACGAUCCGUAACUGGUCUGAGAGGAUGAUCAGUCACACUGGGACUGAGACACGGUCCAGACUCCUACGGGAGGCAGCAGUGGGGAAUAUUGGACAAUGGGCGGAAGCCUGAUCCAGCCAUGCCGCGUGUGUGAAGAAGGUCUUCGGAUUGUAAAGCACUUUAAGUUGGGAGGAAGGGCAGUAAGUUAAUACCUUGCUGUUUUGACGUUACCAACAGAAUAAGCACCGGCUAACUUCGUG
rnacentral:rRNA from 1 species